rnacentral:tRNA from 1 species
GCAUCCAUAGCUUAAUGGAUAAAGCAUUGGUCUUCUAAACCAAGUACUGUGAGUUCGAGUCUCACUGGAUGCA